CUGGCUAAGUGUUUGAGAAAUUUUAUGCACAAAAAUUAGUAUUUGAGACAAUUACAAACACCUUGGCAUAAAGCUUGACAAUGUUGUACUAAAUCAUAAGAAUAUUGAAAUUAAUGUUAAUUAUAGAUUAUCAUUGAUCAUCUCAACGAGGUUGAUUUUCGCGCUUGAGCCGGUAAGACAAAAGCAGGAAAGGCAAUCGAGUGGAGAUGACCAAAGAUGAUCUGUUUAUCGCUAUUUUACCUAUGACGACGUUGUCAAUUUCAUUAGCAACGCCACGUGCCUCCUUAGUUUCAAGCGAUAAUUUUCCAUCUCAAGCGAGUAUCAUGAUCUGAAAAAUUAUCACAAAAAAAGAUCAAAGGAAAAAUGUGCAAAACAGCGAAUAAAAGGAAUAUCGAUCCUUAUGAAAAGAGACAUGUGCAAUUAUGUUUUACUUUACUAAACUAGCAAUAUAAAACUGUCUCGUUAAAAGUACAUGUGACAUUCUGUGGCUC
rnacentral:lncRNA from 1 species